GCAGUGGUGGUUCACUGGUGGAAUUCCUGGCUUCCACGUGGGAGACCCGAGUUUAAUCCCCGGCCGGUGCA
rnacentral:tRNA from 1 species